AUUGAACGCUGGCGGCAUGCUUUACACAUGCAAGUCGAACGGUAACAGGGUGCUUGCACCGCUGACGAGUGGCGAACGGGUGUGUAAUGCGUCGGAACGUGCCGAGUAGUGGGGGAUAACGCAGCGAAAGUUGUGCUAAUCCCGCAGACGUACUGAGGUAGAAAGUGGGGGACCUUCGGGCCUCACGCUAUUCCAGCGGCCGACGUCUGAUUAGCUAGUAGGUGAGGUAAGAGCCCACCUAGGCGACGAUCAGUAGCGGGUCUGAGAGGAUGAUCCGCCACACUGGGACUGGGACACGGCCCAGACUCCUACGGGAGGCAGCAGUGGGGAAUUUUGGACAAUGGGCGGAAGCCUGAUCCAGCCAUGCCGCGUGUCUGAAGAAGGCCUUUGGGUUGUAAACUGCUUUUGUCAGGGAAGAAAUCCUCUAGGUUAAUACCCUUGGGGGGAUGACGGUACCUGAAGAAUAAGCACCGGCUAACUACGUGCCAGCCGCCGCAGUAAAAC
rnacentral:rRNA from 1 species